UGCGACCUCAGAUCAGACGUGACGACCCGCUGAAUUUAAGCAUAUUACUAAGCGGAGGAAGAGAAACUAACCAGGAUUCCCCCAGUAACGGCGAGUGAACAGGGAAGAGCCCAUCGCCGAAUCCCCGGCUGCCGCGGCGGCCGAGGGAGCUGUGGCGUAUGGGAGAGCGCCUGCUCGGCGCUGCUCGGGGGCCCAAGUCCUUCUGAUUGAGGCCUCCUCCCGUGGACGGUGUCAGGCCGGUGGUGGCCCCCGGCGCGCCGGGUCGAGCUUCUCCCUGGAGUCGGGUUGUUUGUGAAUGCAGCCCAAAGCGGGUGGUAAACUCCAUCUGAGGCUAAAUACGGGCACGAGACCGAUAGACGACAAGUACCGUGAGGGAAAGUUGAAAAGAACUCUGAAGAGAGAGUUCAAGAGGACGUGAAACCGUCGAGAGGUAAACGGGUGGGGUCCGCGCAGUCCGCCCGGAGGAUUCAGCCGCGGCGCUCGUUGGCCGGCCGCCGGCGCCGUCUGAACGGAUCCGCCUCAGCCGCUCUGCCGCCGCUCGYGUUGGCAGCACGCGCCCGUAUGACUGCGUCUGCUCGGCGGAGCCGGCCAGCGCCCGGCGCACUUCCUCCGCUCUGGCGGUGCGCCGUGACCGGUUUUCGGGGCGGCCAGGAUCGCCGUGGGGUCUGCGGGCCGGAGGCUGCGAGCCUCCGGCCGGCCCCCGGUGGGAUGGCGUUCGUCCGCCCCGCGACCGAGGGAGAGAGACCGCCAACGCGCCCGCUCUGCCCCGCGGUGGGGGACGUGGAAACGCGCCCCCCCGCCACGGCGGCGGGGCCGGGGCGCCCCGCUCCCCGUCGGGACCGUCGACUGGUGCGGACUGUUCCCAGUGCGUCACCGACCACGGCCCGGCGCUCGGCUGCGGGUGCGCCACCGACCGCGGGCGCCCGGGGU
rnacentral:rRNA from 1 species